rnacentral:rRNA from 1 species
GCUUGCUCUCCUGGGUGACGAGCGGCGGACGGGUGAGUAAUGUCUGGGAAACUGCCUGAUGGAGGGGGAUAACUACUGGAAACGGUAGCUAAUACCGCAUAACGUCGCAAGACCAAAGAGGGGGACCUUCGGGCCUCUUGCCAUCAGAUGUGCCCAGAUGGGAUUAGCUAGUAGGUGGGGUAAUGGCUCACCUAGGCGACGAUCCCUAGCUGGUCUGAGAGGAUGACCAGCCACACUGGAACUGAGACACGGUCCAGACUCCUACGGGAGGCAGCAGUGGGGAAUAUUGCACAAUGGGCGCAAGCCUGAUGCAGCCAUGCCGCGUGUGUGAAGAAGGCCUUCGGGUUGUAAAGCACUUUCAGCGAGGAGGAAGGUGGUGAGCUUAAUACGCUCAUCAAUUGACGUUACUCGCAGAAGAAGCACCGGCUAACUCCGUGCCAGCAGCCGCGGUAAUACGGAGGGUGCAAGCGUUAAUCGGAAUUACUGGGCGUAAAGCGCACGCAGGCGGUUUGUUAAGUCAGAUGUGAAAUCCCCGGGCUCAACCUGGGAACUGCAUUUGAAACUGGCAAGCUAGAGUCUCGUAGAGGGGGGUAGAAUUCCAGGUGUAGCGGUGAAAUGCGUAGAGAUCUGGAGGAAUACCGGUGGCGAAGGCGGCCCCCUGGACGAAGACUGACGCUCAGGUGCGAAGCGUGGGGAGCAACAGGAUUAGAUACCCUGGUAGUCCACGCUGUAAACGAUGUCGAUUUGGAGGUUGUGCCCUUGAGGCGUG